rnacentral:rRNA from 2 species
GCGGCAGACGGGUGAGUAACGCGUGGGAACGUACCUUUUGCUACGGAAUAACUCAGGGAAACUUGUGCUAAUACCGUAUGUGCCCUUCGGGGGAAAGAUUUAUCGGCAAAGGAUCGGCCCGCGUUGGAUUAGCUAGUUGGUGAGGUAAAGACUCACCAAGGCGACGAUCCAUAGCUGGUCUGAGAGGAUGAUCAGCCACAUUGGGACUGAGACACGGCCCAAACUCCUACGGGAGGCAGCAGUGGGGAAUAUUGGACAAUGGGCGCAAGCCUGAUCCAGCCAUGCCGCGUGAGUGAUGAAGGCCUUAGGGUUGUAAAGCUCUUUUGUCCGGGAAGAUAAUGACUGUACCGGAAGAAUAAGCCCCGGCUAACUUCGUGCCAGCAGCCGCGGUAAUACGAAGGGGGCUAGCGUUGCUCGGAAUCACUGGGCGUAAAGGGCGCGUAGGCGGACUCUUAAGUCAGGGGUGAAAUCCCGGGGCUCAACCCCGGAACUGCCUUUGAUACUGGAAGUCUUGAGUAUGGUAGAGGUGAGUGGAAUUCCGAGUGUAGAGGUGAAAUUCGUAGAUAUUCGCAAGAACACCGGUGGCGAAGGCGGCCAACUGGACCAUUACUGACGCUGAGGCGCGAAAGC